GAUGAACGCUGGCGGCGUGCUUAACACAUGCAAGUCGAACGGUGAAGGCGGAGCUUGCUCUGCUGGAUCAGUGGCGAACGGGUGAGUAACACGUGAGCAAUCUGCCCCUGACUCUGGGAUAAGCGCUGGAAACGGCGUCUAAUACUGGAUACGAGCUGCGAAGGCAUCUUCAGCAGCUGGAAAGAAUUUCGGUCAGGGAUGAGCUCGCGGCCUAUCAGCUUGUUGGUGAGGUAAUGGCUCACCAAGGCGUCGACGGGUAGCCGGCCUGAGAGGGUGACCAGCCACACUGGGACUGAGACACGGCCCAGACUCCUACGGGAGGCAGCAGUGGGGAAUAUUGCACAAUGGGCGAAAGCCUGAUGCAGCAACGCCGCGUGAGGGACGACGGCCUUCGGGUUGUAAACCUCUUUUAGCAGGGAAGAAGCGAAAGUGACGGUACCCGCAGAAAAAGCGCCGGCUAACUACGUG
rnacentral:rRNA from 1 species